AGCAGAUGUGUUUUGUGCUUAAUGAAAGCAUUAGACAGUGUUACUUCUAUUCAGCAAAUGUGACUGGAGUUUUCUUAUGGCACUGGACUUCAUUACUUCCUUACUGCAACCUGGCGCUUAAAGUGCUAUCAUCACAAGGAUGAAGAAACAAUUCAGAAAGGCCGAUUGAGAUGGCUAUUGUCAUGCCUUAUACCACUGGCAGAAGCCAAACUGAAUUUGUGGAAGAAAAAUAAGUCAGCGUUUAAUGGAUGGAACAGAGAGUGGAAACAUCUGACAGAACAGUAGGAAACUUUGUUCUGUUUUGAACGCCUCACCACUACUCAUACCAUCUGUCAUGCAUUUCUCAUGAAAUAAACAAUUUUCAGAAUUUUUUUG